rnacentral:rRNA from 1 species
GAUGAACGCUGGCGGCGUGCCUAAUACAUGCAAGUCGAGCGAACGAACGAGAAUCUUGCUUCUCUGAUGUUAGCGGCGGACGGGUGAGUAACACGUGGAUAACCUACCUAUAAGACUGGGAUAACUUCGGGAAACCUGAGCUAACACCGGAUGAUAUUUUGAACCGCAUGGUUCAUCAGUGCAAGCCGUUCUUGCUGUCACUUAUAGAUGUAUCCUCGCUGCAUUAGCUAGUUUGUAAGGUAACGGCCUACCAAGGCAACGCUGCAUAGCCGACCUGAGAAGGUGAUCGGCCACACCUGAACUAAGGAACGGUCCAAAAUCCUUCGGGAAGGAAGAGUAGGGAAACUUCCGAAAUGGGCGAAAGCCUGGCGGAGCAACGGCGCGUGAUGGAUGAAAGUCUUCGGAUCGUAAAACUCUGUUAUGAGGGAAGAACAUAUGUGUAAGUAACUGUGCACAGCUUGAAGGUUACUAAUCAGAUAACCACGGCUAAAUACGGU